rnacentral:lncRNA from 1 species
AAAUAGUCAUACGCACGCGUAGACAUGAUGUGUGCAUAUGUCUAUGUAUGAUAGUGUGUGCGUGUGUGUGUGUGUGUGUGUGUUUGUGUGUAUGUAUGUAUCUUCCCAUCUCUGUGUCUCUCCCUCCCUCUUAAUCUGUCUAUCUACGCAUGUAUGUGUGAAAACAUCUAUUUCGUUUUCAUACAUAUAUAUGUCUAUGAAGCUCUCCUUUUUUGUAUACACAAACAUGCAUAUACACUUUCAUACGAAAAUACAUUCAUAUACAUUUUGCCUUUUAUAGAAAGGACAACAAAAACAUGAGCAGCACCUUCACCACCAACAACAACUACUGAUUUUCUUCCUACUGGGGUCGGUAAAAUAAAGCAAGAGUAAAAUUCUGAGAUAAAUCUAAUCUAGGCGCAGGAGUGGCUGUGUGGUAAGUAGCUUGCUAACCAACCACAUGGUUCCGGGUUCAGUCCCACUGCGUGGCAUCUUGGGCAAGUGUCUUCUGCUAUAGCCUCGGGCCGACCAAUGCCUUGUGAGUGGAUUUGGUAGACGGAAACUGAAAGAAGCCCGUCGUAUAUAUGUAUAUGUAUAUAUAUGUGUGUGUGUGUGUGUGUGUGUAUGUCUGUGUUUGUCCCCCUAGCAUUGCUUGACAACCGAUGCUGGUGUGUUUACGUCCCCGUCACAUAGCGGUUCGGCAAAAGAAACCGAUAGAAUAAGUACUGGGCUUACAAAGAAUAAGUCCCGGGGUCGAUUUGCUCGACUAAAAGGCGGUGCUCCAGCAUGGCCGCACUCAAAUGACUGAAACAAGUAAAAAAAAAAUAAAAAUAAAAAAAAUAAAAAAGUAAUCCACUUCAAAAUUGCUGGCCUUGUACCAAUAUUUGAAAUCAUUUCUAUCUCGUACCAAGAGAUGGUAUUUCAUUAAAGUGAGAUUUUCAAAUUUUGAUAUGUACGUCAUUCAGUACAUCAACUCUAGACUUAUUUAUCUAAAUUUAAAGCAAUGACAGACAGGAUGGCAGUCACAUUGUCAAACAGACACACAGAACUAGACAGGGUAUGAUGACUGUCACCAAGAGAUCGUUAGACAGAAGACUGUCGUUCAGGUAGGUGGGUUAUGUGUAUGUCUUUGAGACAGGUGUCUGACAGAUGAAUUGGUUAGCGGUUCAACUGGAAUCACAUACAACGAGGGAAAAGUUAAACAGAACGGGUGGUGGAAGCACUCCGUCGGUUACGACGACGAGGGUUCCGGUUGAUCCGAUCAACGGAACAGCCUACUCGUGAAAUUAACGUGUAAGUGGCUGAGCACUCCACAGACACGUGUACCCUUAACGUAGUUCUCGGGGAUAUUCAGCGUGACACAGAGAGUGACAAGGCCGGCCCCUUUGAAAUACAGGUACAACAGAAACAGGAAGUAAGAGUGAGAGAAAGUUGUAGUGAAAGAGUACAGUAGGGAUCACCACCAUCCCCUGCCGGAGCCUCGUGGAGCUUUUAGGUGUUUUCGCUCAAUAAACACUCACAACGCCCGGUCUGGGAAUCGAAACCGCGAUCCUACGACCGCGAGUCCGCUGCCCUAACCACUGGGCCAUUGCGCCUCCAAACAGAACGGGUAAACACAGACAGAACAGUGGCUGAAUGCAAAUGAAGUGGUUAAGAAAAAGGGGGAGAAUGAAUGAGAAAGAGAGGGAGAAGGAGAGAGAGAGAGAAGGAGAGAGAGAGAGAGAGAGAGAGAGAGAGAGAGAGAGAGAGAGAGAGAGAGAAACAGGUGCAGGGAGAUAGAGUGAGACACAUAAAGAGACCGAGCGACUGAAAUUGACUGAAUUGAAAAAAGCUAGAGUCAAAGUACGAAACAUGCUCCUGUGGUAUGCGCGCGCGUGCGUGUGUGUGUACGUGCGCGUGAAUAUAUACUCUUUACUCUUUUACUCUUUUACUUGUUUCAGUCAUUUGACUGCGGCCAUGCUGGAGCACCGCCUUUAGUCGAGCAAAUCGACCCCCGGGACUUAUUCUUUGUAAGCCCAGUACUUAUUCUAUCGGUCUAUUUUGCCGAACCGCUAAGUGACGGGGACGUAAACACACCAGCAUCGGUUGUCAAGCAAUGCUAGGGGGACAAACACAGACACACAAACAUAUACACACAACCUUAUAUAUAUAUAUACAUAUAUACGACAGGCUUCUUUCAGUUUCCGUCUACCAAAUCCACUCACAAGGCAUUGGUCGGCCCGGGGCUAUAGCAGAAGACACUUGCCCAAGAUGCCACGCAGUGGGACUGAACCCGGAACCAUGUGGUUGGUUAGCAAGCUACUUACCACACAGCCAUAUAUAUAUAUAUAUAUAUAUAUAUAUAUAUAUGCAUAUAUAUGUAUGUGUGCAGACAUUCAUAACGUACAUGCCUACUUAUGAACGUAUAUAUUGUUCACUACCCCUGCGAAAACUAACAACUUUCCAAUUCUGAGCCAAAGAUGUGGUCCGUCCAACUGCUAAAUAUUGCAACGAAAUCUCUAUCAAGCCCAACACUUGAAAA